AUACGGAGGGUGCAAGCGUUAAUCGGAAUUACUGGGCGUAAAGCGAGCGUAGGCGGUUUGGUAAGUCGGAUGUGAAAGCCCCGGGCUCAACCUGGGAAUUGCAUUCGAUACUGCCAGACUAGAGUAUGGUAGAGGGAAGUGGAAUUCCGGGUGUAGCGGUGAAAUGCGUAGAUAUCCGGAGGAACACCAGUGGCGAAGGCGACUUCCUGGACCAAUACUGACGCUGAGGUGCGAAAGCGUGGGGAGCAAACAGGAUUAGAAACCCUAGUAGUCC
rnacentral:rRNA from 1 species